ACUCUAGUAUUGACUCUGAUCCAUAUGUAUUGAGAUGGAUUGGAGUGUAACUUAAACUAAUAUACACUCCAAUCCACCUCAACACAUGUGUAUUGGGGUCAAUACUAGA
rfam:Zea mays cultivar B73 chromosome 2, whole genome shotgun sequence.